rnacentral:tRNA from 1 species
GGCUUGAUGGUGUAGUUGGUUAUCACGUCAGUCUAACAUCCACUGGAUGGUUCACUGAAGGUCGGGAGAUCGAGACUCCCUCGAGUCA